CCUACGGGAGGCAGCAGUGAGGAAUAUUGGUCAAUGGACGAGAGUCUGAACCAGCAAAGUAGCGUGAAGGAUGACUGCCCUAUGGGUUGUAAACUUCUUUUAUAUGGGAAUAAAAUGUUCCACGUGUGGGAUUUUGUAUGUACCAUAUGAAUAAGGAUCGGCUAACUCCGUGCCAGCAGCCGCGGUAAUACGGAGGAUCCGAGCGUUAUCCGGAUUUAUUGGGUUUAAAGGGGGCGUAGGUGGAUUGUUAAGUCAGUUGUGAAAGUUUGCGGCUCAACCGUAAAAUUGCAGUUGAAACUGGCAGUCUUGAGUACAGUAGAGGUGGGCGGAAUUCGUGGUGUAGCGGUGAAAUGCUUAGAUAUCACGAAGAACUCCGAUUGCGAAGGCAGUUCACUGGACUGCAACUGACACUGAGGCUCGAAAGUGUGGGUAUCAAACAGGAUUAGAUACCCGAGUAGUC
rnacentral:rRNA from 1 species